UACGGAGGGUGCAAGCGUUAUCCGGAUUCACUGGGUUUAAAGGGUGCGUAGGUGGCUUUGUAAGUCAGUGGUGAAAUCUUAGAGCUUAACUCUAAAACUGCCAUUGAUACUGCUUAGCUUGAAUCAAGUAGAGGUGGAUGGAAUAAUACAUGUAGCGGUGAAAUGCUUAGAUAUGUAUUAGACCACCGAUUGCGAAGGCAGUUCACUGUGCUUGUAUUGACACUGAGGCACGAAAGCGUGGGGAUCAUACUGG
rnacentral:rRNA from 1 species